CUACAAAUCACCUGGGGAUCUUGUAAUAAAGCAGACUCUUAAUUUCAUUAGAUCAGAGGUAGGGCCUGAGAUUCUGCAUUUCUAACAAGCUCUCAGAUGAUGCUGAU
rnacentral:pre_miRNA from 1 species